GCCACCGCUCCGUCACCCCCUACCCUCAACCCAAACUGCCUGGCGGGGUUGUUUUGGAGAAAAUUGACGCUUCUCUUCUUCUUUGAUUUUUGUUCUUCCCCCCACCCGGAGCUUGCAGGAUUCAACAUUGGCAGAAGGGAACACAGUCCAAAACUUGGAAGAUCAGACCCUACAGAGGAAACAAGGCCAGGAGGUGGUCUGGGGUGCGUUGUCACAGGAGCCAGGACUGGAUAGGCAGUGGUUGACUUCUGUUGGCCUUCAGAACCCUGCUCUGGCAUCAUGAUUUUCAGAAAAUCUUCCUGGGAUCCCUACAUCCAGCUAAAUGCUCUUCCUCUGUGCAGCCAGUCAUCCUUAGCACCCUUAACAGCCAGUCAUUAUAUCAUUUUUAGCAUCUAUCACAUUGGAGUGAAGUAAUUUGUUUGUGUACCUGUACAACUAGAAUAUACUUCUCCUAACUGGAGGAGCUAAUCAAUAGUCUUCCUUCCUCUCUUCCUUCCGUCCUUUUUCCCUCCUCCCUUCCUUUCUUUCUUCUUUUCUUUCUUCUUUCCCAUUCUCUUCCUUCCCCAUCUUCUCAAUCUCCUCUUUCUCCUUUACCUCUUUUUUUUUUUUUUCUUCUAU